UAGGCCGUCAUUGUAAAUAAGAAUGUGUUCUUAAUCUGACUUGCCUCGUUAAAUAAAGGUGUAAAAAAAAGAAAAAAAUCGGUGGCCAAAAAUACGGAUUACCGAUUGUUAUGAAAAUUUGAAAUCGGCCCUAAUUAAUCGGCCAUUCCGAUUAAUCGGUCGACCUCUACUGACAGAUCCUUCUCAACAAUGCAGAGAGAGACAACAGGUGUAGACUAACAGAGAUAUGCAGACUGACCAGCCCUUAACCAACAGGUGUAGACCUCACAGUGAAAUGCAGACUGACCAGCCCUUAACCAACAGGUGUAGACCUCACAGUGAAAUGCAGACUGACCAGCCCUUAACCAACAGGUGUAGACCUCACAGUGAAAUGCAGACUGACCAGCCCUUAACCAACAGGUGUAGACCUCACAGUAAAAUGCAGACUGACCAGUCCUUAACCAACAGGUGUAGACCACACAGUGAAAUGCAGACUGACCAGCCCUUAACCAACAGGUGUAGACCUCAGUGAAAUGCAGACUGACCAGUCCUUAACCAACAGGUGUAGACCACACAGUGAAAUGCAGACUGACCAGUCCUUAACCAACAGGUGUAGACCUCACAGUGAAAUGCAGACUGACCAGCCCUUAACCAACAGGUGUAGACCUCACAGUGAAAUGCAGACUGACCAGCCCUUAACCAACAGGUGUAGAGAGAAAUAAUAAAGUAAAACGCAUAAUAAUAAAAGUUAUAAUAAAUACACAAUGAGUAACGAUAACUUGACAUGGUCUCAACUAGCAACAUGAUAUCAUGGAUGAAACAGCAGUUUGACAUGGUCUCAACUAGCAACAUGAUAUCAUGGAUGAAACAGCAGUUUGACAUGGUCUCAACUAGCAACAUGAUAUCAUGGAUGAAACGGCAGUAUUCAACGUUUUCCAGGGAGGAUAAACAUCUCGUUAACCUGAAAGUACGUAAUGGUUAAGGUUUGUAAAUUGCAGGUUAAGUUGCCCCUAGUGGAUGGUAUUGGAAGGCAUCACCCGAUGUCCUGGGGACCGAGACAGACUUCAGUAUUCAUCGGGUGUGAUGGCGUUGCAACAACAGGGGAUACGAGGCGCAAUGAGUGAGAGAAUGGUGGUGAAGUUCGAAAAUCGGGCUUGUAUGAAAUGAAACCUGAUCUUUGUAAGUCUGACCUGCGAUGGAUUUUGUUAUUAUAAUGUUUGUAUUGGUCACAAUAAAUAGUGAUGUAGUCUUUUCAACAUUUUUUAUU
rnacentral:lncRNA from 1 species